CCCUAGCCCUGAUUGCAGCAAUUGUUUGAGCUAUUUUCGGUUUUUUGGUUCCGGCGGCGAAGCCGCCGGAACCAAAAAACCGAAAAUAGCGAGUGCGGAAAGCAGGAAAAGCU
rnacentral:misc_RNA from 1 species